AAAAAGAAAUUUCUCCCGCCAAAUAAAAAAGUUGGGGGGGAAAUUUUUUCCGAAAAGAGAACCGGCCUUUUUUCCCCACAAGGGAAUGUGUGUUUGUAAAGGACUCCCCAACGCCUUUAGCGGGGUAGCGGGUUUUGGAGAAGAGAUUCCGCCCCACUUUGGUAUUGGAACCCGGGCCCAGACUCUCUCCGGGGAAGCCCCCCGUUGGGGAAAUUUGCCCAAUGGGGGGAAACCCUUGAUCCAGCAACCCCCGGGGGAAGGAUGACGCAUUUCGGGGUGGUAAACUCCUUUUUAUGAGUCAAGAAAAUGACCGGUAGCUCAAUGAAUAAGCACCCGGCUAACUCCGGUGCCAGCAGCCGCGGUAAUACGGAGGGUGCAAGCGUUAUUCGGAAUCACUGGGCGUAAAGGACGCGUAGGCGGGUUGCCAAGUCUGAUGUGAAAUCCUACAGCUUAACUGUAGAACUGCAUUGGAAACUGGUAACCUAGAGUAUGGGAGGGGGAGAUGGAAUUAGUGGUGUAGGGGUAAAAUCCGUAGAUAUCACUAGGAAUACCGAAAGCGAAGGCGAUCUCCUGGAACAUUACUGACGCUAAGGCGUGAAAGCGUGGGGAGCAAACGGGAUUAGAUACCCCGGUAGUCCACGCCCUAAACGAUGUUCACUAGUCGUCGGGAUGCUAGUCAUCUCGGUGAUGCACUUAACAGAUUAAGUGAACCGCCUGGGGAGUACGGUCGCAAGAUUAAAACUCAAAGGAAUAGACGGGGACCCGCACAAGUGGUGGAGCAUGUGGUUUAAUUCGAAGAUACGCGAAGAACCUUACCUAGCCUUGACAUUGAUUGAACUCAGUAGAGAUGCAGAGGUGCCCUUCGGGGAGCAUGAAAACAGGUGCUGCACGGCUGUCGUCAGCUCGUGUCGUGAGAUGUUGGGUUAAGUCCCGCAACGAGCGCAACCCUCGUCUUUAGUUGCCAGCAGGUUAAGCUGGGCACUCUAAGGAGACUGCCUUCGUAAGGAGGAGGAAGGUGAGGACGACGUCAAGUCAUCAUGGCCCUUAUGGCUAGGGCUACACACGUGCUACAAUGGGGCGUACAGAGAGUUGCGAUACCGCGAGGUGGAGCCAAUCUCACAAAGCGUCUCUCAGUUCGGAUUGAAGUUUGCAACUCGACUUCAUGAAGCUGGAAUCACUAGUAAUCGUAGAUCAGCAAUGCUACGGUGAAUACGUUCCCGGGUCUUGUACUCACCGCCCGUCACACCAUGGGAGUUGAUUUCACCCGAAAUUGGGAAGCUAACCUUCGGGAGGCUACCACUUACGGUGGAAUUAGCGACUGGGGUGAAGUCGUAACAAGGUACC
rnacentral:rRNA from 1 species